UACGUAGGGGGCAAGCGUUGUCCGGAAUUACUGGGCGUAAAGGGCGCGUAGGCGGCCUUCUAAGUCGAACGUGAAAUCCCCGGGCUCAACCCGGGAACUGCGUCCGAUACUGGGAGGCUUGAAUCCGGGAGAGGGAUGUGGAAUUCCAGGUGUAGCGGUGAAAUGCGUAGAUAUCUGGAGGAACACCGGUGGCGAAGGCGGCAUCCUGGACCGGUAUUGACGCUGAGGCGCGAAAGCUAGGGGAGCAAACGGG
rnacentral:rRNA from 1 species